rnacentral:rRNA from 1 species
UACGAGGGGACCUAGCGUUGUUCGGAAUCAUUGGGCGUAAAGCGGGUGUAGGCGGCCUAGUAAGUCAGAUGUGAAAGCCCAGGGCUUAACCCUGGAAGUGCAUUUGAUACUGUUGGGCUUGAGUGCGGAAGAGGGUAGUAGAAUUCCUGGUGUAGUGGUGAAAUACGUAGAUAUCAGGAGGAAUAUCGGUGGCGAAGGCGGCUACCUGGUCCGACACUGACGCUCAGACCCGAAAGCGUGGGGAGCAAACAGG